GCCCAGGUGGUGGAAUGGUAUACACGAACGACUUAAAAUCGUUUGACGUAAGUCAUGCGGGUUCGAGUCCCGCCCUGGGCA
rnacentral:tRNA from 1 species